rnacentral:rRNA from 1 species
GGACCCGCACAAGUAGUGGAGCAUGUGGUUUAAUUCGAUGAUACGCGAGGAACCUUACCAGGGCUUAAAUGUAGUGGGACAGGUCUAGAGAUAGACCCUUCUUCGGACUCAUUACAAGGUGCUGCAUGGUUGUCGUCAGCUCGUGCCGUGAGGUGUCAGGUUAAGUCCUAUAACGAGCGCAACCCCUAUCGUUAGUUGCCAGCGGGUAAUGCCGGGAACUCUAGCGAAACUGCCGGUGCAAACCGUGAGGAAGGUGGGGAUGACGUCAAAUCAUCACGGCCCUUACGUCCUGGGCUACACACGUGCUACAAUGGUCGGUACAGAGAGCAGCCACUACGCGAGUAGGAGCGAAUCUUCAAAGCCGGUCUCAGUUCGGAUCGGAGUCUGCAACUCGACUCCGUG